UACUGGUUGCAUAUUCUGGUGAACUACACCUGCCAACAUUAUGAAGCAACUCCGAGCCCCCAAGAAAAGCUGUCGGACUUGUAACACUAUACCUUCUUCCCUUUAUUUUUCUAUAUUUUUGUACUCUGUAUAAGUUUGCUCUGUUAAUAUAUUUAGACCUGAAUA